UACAGAGGUCCCAAGCGUUGUUCGGAUUCAUUGGGCGUAAAGGGUGCGUAGGCGGCGCGGUAAGUCGGGUGUGAAAUCUCGGGGCUUAACUCCGAAACUGCAUUCGAUACUGCCGUGCUUGAGGACUGGAGAGGAGACUGGAAUUUACGGUGUAGCGGUGAAAUGCGUAGAUAUCGGGAGGAACACCUAUGGCGAAGGCAGCUCGCUGGGACGUUACUGACGCUGAGACGCGAAAGCGUGGGGAGCAAACAGG
rnacentral:rRNA from 1 species